AUUGGGUUUUAGUGUAAAACAAACUUUUAUAGAGUUAGAUUUGGAUGUAUUUUGUAAUAGUCAGUUGACUGUAUCAAAAAAAAAAACUUUGUGAUCAGGUUUCUAGUACUAUGUUUGAAAAAUAUAAAAAUGACUGGAAAAUACUGUAACCAGAACUAAUGCUGUAAGAGGCAAUGGUAGAAACAAGCUAAGAACUUAUUGUCUUUUUAAAACUGAGUGUUGUACUGAAGAAUACUGUAAUGCGGUUUUACCUCGUACUCAUAGAGCAGCAUUUGCCAAGUUUAUAUGUGGGGUAGCCCCACUUAUGUUAGAAACUGGGAGAUACAAGACAUUGUCUCUUGAGAACCGUGUUUGCCCUUUUUGUAUCGGGUGUGUAGAAGAAAGAUGAGAGCCAUGUUAUCUUACAAUGCCCAAUGUAUUCAAAUAUAAGAAACAUUCUGUUCACUAAGUGCCAAAAGGUAACAAAUUUUAACUUUCAGUCUGAUGUCGAAAAAUGGUUACUUUGUUCUCUAACAAUAUGUUAAUUAGAUGCUGUGCCAAAGCCUGCUAUGAUAUAUUGCAAUUAAGAAACUCACAUUUGUAUCAAUAAUGUUAUCUCACCACUAAUAAGCUGUUUUAAAUUGUAGAAAAAAGUUGUUUUAAACUGUAGAAAACUUAUCCUUGUAGUUGAUGUACAUGUAUAUAUAUUAAACAAGGUCCCUGGUAAUGAUAUGUAUAUCAGUUAGGGAAACCAGGAUUUAGACAUUACAUUUUCUUUUUACACUCAAAACUAAGUUUUAUUCAUGGGUCUUAUUUUUUUUAUUUUUUUUAAAAAUGGGGAUGGUUAGUAUUUAGUGGUAGUUGAGUAAGAUAUCCAAUCUAAAUAAUUUCCAAUUGUAAAAUUAAUGACUAAAUUCAGUGCUUUGGUUGUGACUUUUUCUGCCUUUAGUAAACACAUAAUAUCAUAUCCUUUUAAACAAUAAUAAACAUCCUCUUAGAUUUGUGAUUUGCAACAAAACUGAGAAAAAAUAGAGAAUAUUAUAUAGUAGCCAGGAAAUUGGCCUUUCAAUAAAUUUUAAUACAGUGUGGUUUGUAUAAUGUAAUUAAUGAGUAAAAAUUUAUAUUAUAAAUGAUUAAUACAAGCAUAUUUUAUACCACAUGUUUACCUGCACUGAUUUUCACAUUUUGUACACCAGUGUGUAAAAUCCAUGUAAAAGUGUGCCCCUUAAACUACCUUUAUAUCUUUUAAGAAACAUUAUAACAAUGGAGCUUUAAUUCAGGCUUUUGACUAGUCAGUACUACCAUAUUUUUUUCAAUCCUUGCACAUGCUACAUGAGCCAGUUCAAUUUCUUGUACAAUAUACAAUACCUGUAACAACUAAAGAUGAAUAUAAAUACAGGUGAAUGUGAUUCAAUUUAAAUAUAAAUGUUUUAUCAUUAAAGGUCAGCCACCAUGUUCAUUGCCUGGUACACAGCAAUACUCAUUUGACUUUGCCCGGCAGCUAUUUUAUCCACACCAUGCACAACAAGUUGGACCACUGUUUUUCAAAACUCCCAGGAAGUGCCAGUGCUUUGGAGUGUGCUCAGAAAGAGCAGGUACUCAGAUAUUCUAUCUUAUUGAUGAAGCAGAGUGCACUGGUAAAGGAGCUAACUGUGUGACCAGCUUACUCCACCAUCAUUUUCAGCACCAUGGGUUUGGAGAGGAGCAUGUGCAGUUGCAAAUGGACAAUUGUUCUGGACAAAACAAGAACAACACUGUAUUGUUGUAUGGGCUAUGGAAAACUAUGACUGGGCUUCACAGGACUGUUGAGUUCUCACUCAUGGAAGCUGGCCGUACAAAGUUUAGCCCUGAUUGGCACUUUGGAGUAUUCAAAUCUGAAUGGCGACACUGUACAGUUGAGACAAUGGACAGGAAAUUAAUAUCUUUAAGAAAAAUCCUCCAGUCUCAAGUGCUAGUCAGUUACCAGCUGUAAUUGUACCUAAAGGAUUAGAUCCAUCUAGGCAGUGGUAUCUGUUUAAUGGAAUUAGGCAGUAUUGUCUUAAAGAAAAAGGUUCAUGCCCUAAGCUAUUGGUUCCAAAACCUGAAGCUAUAACUGUUAAAACUGAUAGUGAAAAAGGAAGAAGAAAUGUUCAUACAUACAAUAAGCCAGAUCAAGAUCUUGUCUAGACACUGUAUAAAAGACUGAGAGAUUCUGAUUCUGGCCUAUUGUAUGCAUGAACAUCAGGAGACUGCUUGUAUGUAUAUAUGUCUGAUGUCAGAAACAACUGAUGACUCUUACAGUGCAUCACAAGUUUUGUGUUUAUAAACAUGUGCUCAGCAGUAGUGAUUUCGGGGACACAUUUUAUAAAAUAACCGUUGAAAGGAACAUGCCAUGUAUAUACUUUAUUACUUUACUAGUACUUUUGAUUGUUAUUUCCUAGUUAUUUGAAAUACAUUCUCAGUUGUACUAUACUACAGAUAUUCCCUUUUGUCAUGUUUCAUACAGCAUUUGUAAAACAUGUGAUGCAUAUUUCACUGGAAUUGACAUUCAUACUUGAAAUAACAUACUGGAAACUAUUAAAUGACAAAAAAAGACAUUCUGAUUAUUGAUUAGACUAUGUUAAAGUAAUUGCAUACAUGUAUAUGUAUUUUCACAUUCUACAUAAAUUUUAACUACUGACAUCAAUGGAACCUAGUAUUUAUUUUUUUAGUAAAUUGUAAGUAGAUCUAUUUCCUGAAUUAUAUACAGAUCUUAGUGAUUUCAAGAUUAAUUUUCUUAAUAAAUUUUGAUAUAAAUGUUUCAAAUUUGGCUCUUGUUUGUAGUAUAGUGUAUUCACUUUCAUUCUUAUACCUCAUAUUGCAUGUGCAGGGUUGCUAUGGUAACCAAAUUUGACUAUUGAAACUUGCCACUCACAUUAAUUGAUAAAAAUAAUAAAAAAACAUGAUUUAAUAAUGACAUAAAUGAAUUUUAUAGUUAUCCUGUUCAUUCUGAAGUUGUUUUCCUAGUAUGUAUAAUAUUUUCAUUGUUGCUAUGGUAACAAAAUAAUGUUGUGAAUUUAAGACCAAAGAUAUGUUCAUUAUGUAGUGACAAACUAUUGCAGAUAAGAAAUAAACAUAUUAAAGUCAAUUUAUUGAGAUCAUAUUUUUUCUGUUUUGAUUUUUAUUUCUCUAGCAAUAUUAGCUGUACACAAAACAUCACUAACAGAUAUGCACAUGGAAACAAACAUCAUAUGUUUUUAAAACAGAAGUUACAUGCACUGUUAACUGCCAGUAAGGCAAAAUGUAUAAUUUGUUAUUUCUUAUGUUAUGGUAGGUAGGUAUAUCAAAAUGUCUAUAUUUGGCAAUGUUUUGUGCUGAUAGCAUAAAGAAAAUCACUUUAAACAUAUAUUUUUAUAAUUUUAACUUGGUUACCAUGGUAUCCAUUAUGUCUAUAUAUCUGCUAGUACUAAUUAUUGAGCAGUUACUUUACCAUACAAAUUUGUCAUAUUGUGUACCAUGUAAAGGACUAGUACAAAAGUACAAAAUGAAUAAAAUGUGUUGUUGCAUUAUAGUAAUUGGUUUGUUUAAAUACUUGCAAGAUAACAGAAAAACUGGGAAAAGAUGGUGUUGUAAAAUUUACCAUAUUUCUUUAAAUAUCACUGAAACAGCUCUAUUUUUCUUGCAUAAAAGGGAGACAUUGAUUACUAAAAAACAUGAACAACUAAAUUUCGACAAAAAUCUUCAAUAAGCCCCUUUUUCCCAUGCCUUGUCACAUAUAGUUUUGGCCUUACUAUAUAUAACAUGUUCG
rnacentral:lncRNA from 1 species